GACGAACGCUGGCGGCGUGCUUAACACAUGCAAGUCGAACGAUGAAGCCUUAGCUUGCUUUGGUGGAUUAGUGGCGAACGGGUGAGUAACACGUGAGCAACGUGCCCAGGACUCUGGAAUAACCGCGGGAAACCGUGGCUAAUACCGGAUAGGUGCCGAGGCCGCAUGGUCUUCGGUUGGAAAGUUUUUGCGGUUCUGGAUCGGCUCACGGCCUAUCAGCUUGUUGGUGGGGUAAUGGCCUACCAAGGCGACGACGGGUAGCCGGCCUGAGAGGGUGACCGGCCCCCAUGGGACUUAGGAAAGGCCCCGGACCCUACGGGAGGCAGGAGUGGGGAAUAUUGCCCCAAGGGCGCAAGCCUGAUGCAGCCACGCCGCGUUGGGGAAGACGGGCCUCGGGUUGUAAACCUCUUUUAGUAGGGAAGAAGCGCAAGUGACGGUACCUGCAGAAAAAGCACCGGCUAACUACGUG
rnacentral:rRNA from 1 species